rnacentral:rRNA from 1 species
GACGAAGGAUGCAAGCGUUAUCCGGAUUCAUUGGGUUUAAAGGGAGCGUAGGCGGCCCUAUAAGUCAGUGGUGAAAUCUCUCGGCUUAACCGAGAAAUUGCCAUUGAUACUGUAGGGCUUGAGUACAGUUGCCGUUGGCGGAAUAUGACAUGUAGUGGUGAAAUACAUAGAGAUGCCAUAGAACACCGAUUGCGAAGGCAGCUAACGAAGCUGUAACUGACGCUGAGGCUCGAAAGUGCGGGGAUCAAACAGG